AUGAAAAAUGUCAAAAACCGCAAUAUCUGCCCUCUUCAUUUGGUAAGACUGUAUUUUUUCCAUUUUCUUUGUUCUCUAUUUGUGUUCAUUUCCUAUUAUCUAGUAGAAAAGAAAUCUGAAAAAAGAAUCUUUUUUCAUUAUUUUUUUGUAGCAUCAAUGUCGUACCUUGGGAUGCAAUGCUAUGUCUUGGGUUCCUAUUUGCUGCAACGGACGACUUCAACUAGCUACUAUAGUCUCUCGAAGACAAAUUAUAAUGCCCUAUGUUUAAAUUACUAUAUCUAUAUGUAGGGUCUAUAGCAAGGAAAAUAAAUUUAUGCUUAAUAAAUGGUUUCGUUUGUGUAGUGUGCCUGCCGGUUGCAAAUGAAUUGGGGAGAUGAGAUACAGAGGCUGAGAAUCUCUCUAUUAAAGUUAGCAGCUUGACUGAUUGAGUUUCAGCUGGAGUUCUCUUUUGCAUUCUGUGUUUAGCAUUUGGCAACAAAAUUGCUUUCUUGUCUGGUGGUGAUGAGGAGGUGCCAGGCUUCUACCAGCUUUCUCAGUUUUACUCAACAGUGUUCAGUCCACACUUAUCAGGGAUGUUUUUCACUUGAAAAUACUCAUGCCCUAAAGGGUAUUAACUUGGGAAUUAAACUCACUUGCUUGCAUAAUUAAGAGAGUUUCUUGCAUUUCAUGGGCAUUUUUUUUUCCUAACAAUUGCGUAUUCCAUUACUGCGCAGGGCGCUGGUAUUCAAUGUGAGGCUGCAAGUGAAGGUGAGAGCUAGGGCAUUUGGAUUGGAAUGAUUCUGGGAGUUGUACUGCAAUUGCUUGCACUUUGCUGCAUGACCAUGAGAACUGAUUGGGAUGGCCAGGUAAAGAAGUCAUUGGCGCGUCUAAAUCGGUUCCUGAGACCAUCGGAAGAAAGCAGUGGAGGUUCUAGCAUUUCCCAUCUUUAAUCUCUUGGUUCCAUGCAACGACCAUCCAUUAUGGUGAUGGGAUGCCUGCUUUAAUUGUUGAUUUUGGAAGAGCUGAGCAUAGCCACACUUCCUUGACCUCGAUCAUCCAUAACGCAAUCAAGUUUAGAAAAUUAAUCGCAAUUCUCUUCAUUGUUUCUUAGCCAUGGCUACCCUUCAAGCUUGUUUUGAGACCCAGCAUCUUAUUGUAUUCAAGGCAUAAGAACACUAAUUGAGAGCAACACAGAGCACUCGCAAUCAUUUAAUAUAUGAUCGGUUUUCAUCUCCUGAAGAUCACGUUUUAGCUUUCAAGCGACAAAAUCCGUUUUCCAUGACAAUGCUCUACAAUGAAAUCUGUGUUCUCUUUAUCCCAGUCAUAUAUUAACAUAACAUAAUAGCAUCGAACCCGCCAUAAUGGCCACUCAUGCCCUCUGUGCUUUGAAAGGAAUGGCGUAAUCCAAUUCAAAGGUGUACCAUUAAGAAGGGAAAGUGUUGUUAAUGGAAAUU